AUGAGUCUCUACCUUCUGAGGAACUUUUAUGCCAUUCGUUUGGUGUGAUGGGAAAUCAGGACUGUUACUUUGAAAAAAUUAGAGUGUUUAAAGCAGGCUAACGUCUGAAUACAUUAGCAUGGAAUAAUGAAAUAGGACGGAUUGAUUCUAUUUCGUUGGUUUCUAGGGUCACCGUAAUGAUUAAUAGGGAUAGUUGGGGGCAUUAGUAUUCAAUUGUCAGAGGUGAAAUUCUUGGAUUUAUUGAAGACUAACUACUGCGAAAGCAUUUGCCAAGGAUGUUUUCAUUAAUCAAGAACGAAAGUUAGGGGAUCGAAGACGAUCAGAUACCGUCGUAGUCUUAACCAUAAACUAUGCCGACUAGGGAUCGGACGAAGUUAAUUUUAUAAUGACGCGUUCGGCACCUUACG
rnacentral:rRNA from 1 species